GUUCUGUAUGAAAAGAGAGGUUAGCACUCCCUUUGACAAGGAUGGAAGAGGCCCUUCAACCUAAGAACAUGCACACAAUUAAGGCAUUGCCAACUACUUUAUGACAUCUAACUAUUAUUUUAG